GUCGGAGAGGGACUGGUGGAGGUGGGACAGGCACCGCUCGUCGUCGGGGUCGGCGGCGCAGAGGAGGAAGAGCGCUGCAGCGAAGGCGGCAGCGAGGUGGUGUCAGGACAUUGGGGAACGGUGCUGCACCGCUGCUGAAAUCAAGCAGAUGUGGAGGGAGAUGCCUGCCUGCCACUGCCGCGCGAUUGCUCGCCCUCAUCCGCUGCUCGCCUACGCCGC
rnacentral:lncRNA from 1 species